rnacentral:lncRNA from 1 species
AAUGUCAGCAGAGAGGACCAGCACAGAGGGUGAUGCCGGCGGUCCUGGGGGUCCUGCUUGUUGUCAGUUGAAGGUUUCUGAGUAAAUUGACAGAGCCAGACUAAAGUGAGAUUGGCAAAUGGACUUGAGAUGAAGAAUAACAGCAGCAGCAGCAGCAGCAGCAGCAGCAGAUGUUAUCCUAAUGGAAAACUGGAGGCUCCUCAGCCCUGGGCUGUCCCUCCUGUGCUGGCGUGUGUGCCUCUCCCCUCAUGGUCUGCCUUGCUGACACCGCUUUGGCACCUGGAGUCAUCUAGCUCUGCCAAUCAGAUGCAACCCUAAGGAAACUGAUUUGGAACAUUAAUUCUGUGAGGAAAGAUCCAGGACACUCAACUGUCUCCUUGGCAUCCCUGCAGGACUGUGGAGCACGGUGUGAACGAGCCAUGCUGUAAGCUCCCUUAGCUAUGGAUCAAGCCACUCCAACUGCCAUGACCUCACCAUAUGUGGUUAUCACUUGGUUAUACUGCCUUGUGACAGAGGCAUCAUUCAUCAUUUAAAAGCCCACAUCAGAAGAAGGUACCAAGAAAAUGAGAACUUUGUUCUGCAGUUACAUGCAGCUGAAACGUGGAGAAUGAACCAAGGAAGUAUGGCAGUGUGCUAAAAAAAAUCCAUAAAAAUCACAUAGAGGUAAUGGUUACCAGUGGCUGAAAUUGCACAAGAGAAAGAUCUCACUUUUAAGUGUCUUCUGAUGGAGCUACACGAUAUCAUGCGUAAAAAUGUAAAUUUCUUCUGUUGAUGAUAUUGCUAAGCAGAGAUACUCCAUGAUGUCAUCGAAAAGCAAAAAUCAAACCCCCAAAUGAGAGAAAUUCACAAGAUGUACCCUGAUGUUCCAAUUGGCAGCAAGUACUAACUAGGCAUUUAAUAAGAUAAGUUGAUUAUUAGUCUCUGGGUAUGAUGGUCAUGUUACACUUCUAUAUCCAGUAAGGCUACUUCCCUUUCAGAGAUAUAUAUUAAAGUACUUACGGUUA